UCUAAAAAAAGUUUGAAUGUA
rnacentral:piRNA from 1 species